rnacentral:rRNA from 1 species
UACGUAGGUGGCGAGCGUUGUCCGGAUUUACUGGGCGUAAAGCGCGCGCAGGCGGUUCGUUAAGUCCGGGGUGAAAGCUCCCGGCUCAACUGGGAGAGGUCAUUGGAUACUGGCGGACUUGAGGGAUGCAGAGGAAGGUGGAAUUCCCGGUGUAGUGGUGAAAUGCGUAGAGAUCGGGAGGAACACCAGUGGCGAAGGCGGCUUCCUGGCCUGUUCUUGACGCUGAGGCGCGAAAGCUAGGGGAGCAAACGGG